rnacentral:rRNA from 1 species
GACAGAGGCCUCGAGCGUUAGGCGGAAUCACUGGGCUUAAAGCGUGUGUAGGCGGAUCGUUAAGUGCCUUGUGAAAUCCCACGGCCUAACUGUGGAACGGCUGGGCAUACUGGCGGUCUUGAGCCAUCUAGGGGCGACUGGAACAAACGGUGGAGCGGUGAGAUGCGUAGAUAUCGUUUGGAACGCCAAUGGUGAAAACAGGUCGCUGGGGAUGUGCUGACGCUGAGACACGAAAGCCAGGGGAGCAAACGGG